CCCCGAUGCAGUCAACAUGAUGGCGUUGACGACACACGUGGAUUAUAAACUGAUCAACUUCAGACAAUGUUUAUUGCAAGACCAUACGAUUUCAUAACCAUAAUGGAUGUUCAUCAAACCCGGAGUAUCAACCUACACCCCCAGGAUCACUCAAGAUUAUGAUGGAAAGAUGCACUCAUCUGAAGAGAGCUCAAACAGCAUCACCAAGAAUUUGAAUACGUCAUCUCCUCACUGCUUCAGGUUACUUCAGUUCAGCUUGGCUACUUUUUCACUGCUAGAGUUUUAAAGAACACUCAAGAUGAUGACAAGCCUUGGUAUGAAAGAUGCGCCAGCUUGACUGACGAGAGCCUGUGAGAUGCUGCCUCAUCAUGAUCUCAAAUACGUCAUCUUCUCAGCGUCUCAAGCUAAUUCAGUUCAACUUUGUGAAUUAUUCAAUACUAAGAUGUUAAGGUACGUCUCACGUAGGGAGUUUUAUUUAUUGUAAAAAGGUCUGUUUACCUGGACUCUUAAAAAACCACUCAGACAAUCAGUCUUUACUGUUUACAACUGAAACAAAGUUGCUAUUUAUUCUAAAAGCUAUGAACUUAAUUCAAAGCCAAAGUGUACUUCGUAAACAGAUCUUUACACGUACAGCCCUAUGUGGCUGUUUUUGUUAUGAAGUGAAAACUUUAUGCUGAAUAUUGUUGUGUACAGUUUGUAGCUCCUUUGAAUCAUCAGGCCUGAUACUUUGCAGAGACAAGUAACGCAGCAAUUGCCUCUGUGCACACG